AGGGAAUCCAGAGCCAUUGUGUUCCCAAGGUGUUCUCUUUCAUAGGCCUCCUAGGAGAGAGAGCCCGUCAUCCUUUCAGGGAAGCGGAUCCCUUGCCCAGCCACUCUUACUCUCAUGAAGUUUCACCUAAUGUUCAACCCAAAUCUACCCAAGCUCUUAGAUCUCACCUUGCCCUCUGGAGCCACAGCAGAAAAUAAAUACUUGGCUUCUUGUGUGGGACAUCCUGCUGGGUAUGUUUCAUGUCAAAUGCCUUGGCUAGCCUUCCUCAACAUGGUGCCCGCCAGAUAUUUGUGGGGCUCUAGCUCCCAUUAACCCCAGCAAGCUUGAUCAAUAGUCAGUAUGAUGGAAAUUGUAGCUAUGUAUAUCAGCCCCUUCAAGUAUCCCUCUUUUCCAGGGACAGUCUUGGGUUUACAGAAGCUGUCCCAUUUUCUGAUUUGAUCCCGGAAUGCCCCACUUUUCCUUAGGGUGUGGAAUUAUGUGACCCCUGAGCCAAGGAGAUAAGUAACUACAGAACCUUUAGAAGACAUCUGAAGGCAGCCCUGUAUAGGGAAGUUUUUUGACGUUCAAUGUUUUAUAAUGUUUUUAUUUAUGUUGAAAGCCGCCCAGAGUGACUGGGGCAACCCAGUCAGAUGGGUGGGGUAUAAAUAAUAAAAUCAUCAUGGAAUAAAGCGUCUCUAUUUUCGUUGGAGGGCAUUAUUCACACACACACACACACACACACACACACACACACAGCUGUACCCCUGCUAACUCAACUCUCCAACCCUCCCAGCCAUUUUCUCCCACAUUAACCCCUAGAGCUUCCUUUUCCCACCCCAUGCAACUACUAAGCUCACUUUUCCUGGCCUCUUGGGUUUUUCUUCAUGGAAAUCCAAGAUUGUGACGAGGCACUGCAAAUCAUCCAAUGGGGGCUUCCUCCAAUAUGGGCAGCCUCAGGCUGGGGAAGGGUGUUCUACGGGGCUUCCUCUGACCACAACAGGCUGGCAGGCAGGCUGGCAAGUAUCGUGUCUGCCUGAUAAGCAGUAGUGUGUCCAGGAGUUAUGAAUAGCAACAGUGCUGCUGUUUACAUGUUGUGUGCAGAGAGUGCUGCUUUACAUGUUGUCCUCCUUCUCGUCCUGCAUCAUUCCAUUCUUUCAACUUGUCUUCAGAGGCCUGACAUUUUCCAUCUUCAUUUCAAAAACUGGACUCAAUACUCCAGAUGAGCCCUGACUAAUGUGAAAUAAAGGCAACUCUGACUUUCAAGUUAAACUUUUAUUAAUGCUGCCAAAAAUCCCAUAAAGCAUUUUUUGCAGCCACAACAUGCUACCGUCUCCUGUUCAGCUGCUGAUAAGACAGUCCCAGAACAUUGCUUAUAUAGACUAUUGCCAAGUAGUACUUGUAAAAUAAAAAAUUAUUAUUACUAGAAGUUUUUAUUCUACUAAAAAAAGGUCCCUAAUUGAUCAGGUGAAAGUACCCUGACUGAUCCAGCUUUUACAAAUAUUAUUUUUAUCUCUGUUGUUUAUUUUAAAAAGCACUGCGUAAAAAGAAACAUUCUCUUUCCUCUGUCAAAGGAGCAAAUGCCUCUUCUGUCACAGUGCAAGCAGGUUUGUUUGUUUGUUUGGCUUUCGAACUCUUGACUUACAAAAUUAAUCACUCAGUUAAUCCCCGUUGGCUCCACUCAUUUGCAUAUACUUACAUGUGAGUGAGGCUCAUUUAAUAAAGUAGGACUUGAUUCUGAGUAAAGUGAUAUUGUCUCUCCAGCUGCUUGGGACUACAACUCCCAUCAGCUCCAGUCAGCAUAGCUGAGCUGGCUGGGGCUGAUGGGAAUUGCAGUCCAAAACACCUGGAAGGCCCCAAGUUAACAAGGACUGAGGCAUAGAAUUGCUUUAGGAGAUUUAUUUAUUGGGUUGACGACCCUAUUCAUCCCCACCCACCCCCCAAUCCCUCAGGCACUCUAAUUUAAAUUGGGUUUCAAAAAAUUAAAGAAUGCUAGAGUGAUGUUGGAUUAAAAAUAAGUGGCUUCCAGCUGUUUAGGAUUUAAAAUUAUGCAUAGAUUAAUUGGUUUUUAAAAGGUAAAAUUUUAAUGUCAUACUAUUUUAAGAGUUAAGAUUGGGAUUAAAAAAAGAGGGAAAGAAAUUGCUGGACAAACAAUUUGAACUGGAAUACAAAAGAGGGAGGUAUGAGGAGGUCCAGAAAAUAAGUAAAUUUAAAGGUGGAGACGAAAAGAUGAUAUUGUUUUUAAUUGUUCUACUUUCUUUUUUGUCUUAUGUUUUCUUGUUUCUUUAUUUCUUUUUUUUCCUUUCUUUUAGAUUAUGUAUUGUAUAUUUUGAAUUGUGUAUUUCUUUUUUAUGUUUUAUGCUUAAUCUUUUAUUGAAACUUUAAUAAAUAUCAUUUUAAAAAAAAUUAAAUUGGGUUUCAAAUUGUAAUAAAUCUCAAUGCAAUUGUUUUGUUCAACAGGGUGGAAAUUGACACUCCUUGCUGAUAUUAAUUGGUUGCUUGUUCUCUUUGAUGUUGUUUCAAUCAUUUUUAUUGCACCCAGGAUUGGUUGUUUUAUCCUGUUUUUAUUGCAUUGCCUUCCACAUUUUAUUAAAGAAAUGGGACAAAUAAAUUUCAUUUUAUAUUCA
rnacentral:lncRNA from 1 species